UACGUAGGGUGCAAGCGUUGUCCGGAAUUAUUGGGCGUAAAGAGCUCGUAGGCGGUCUGUCACGUCGGCUGUGAAAUCCCGAGGCUCAACCUCGGGUCUGCAGUCGAUACGGGCAAACUAGAGUAUUGCAGGGGAGACUGGAAUUCCUGGUGUAGCGGUGAAAAUGCGCAGAUAUCAGGAGGAACACCGGUGGCGAAGGCGGGUCUCUGGGCAAUAACUGACGCUGAGGAGCGAAAGCGUGGGGGAGCGAACAGG
rnacentral:rRNA from 1 species